UUUUAUUAUAGAGAAAUACAAUGACUUGGUAGACAAUCAUGAUAAGUGCUAGAGAAAGUUGUAUUUUAAAUGAAUAUUCAAAACACUUUUGUUACUUGUUUUGCAAGUUAUUGAGGGAAAAGCCGAGAGAAAAGUGAUUAUUGCCUUUUUACGCUUUAUCUAUCUUACUUCACCCAUUUGUGCAGGAUUUGAACUCAAGACAUCAAGCAAAGAGAAAAAAUGGAGAAAAGUACAAAGAGGCAGAAAAAUGAAGUCACUCGCCUCAAACUCGCCGUGGCGAGCAGCAAAAGCGAGCAGACCUAUUCAGUCAUCACCAACUCGCAAUGGCCAGAUGAAAGGCGAGCAAUUCCAGUAAGCAACAGAGAUCACACGCCACCAACUCGCAAUGGCGAGUAGAAGGCGAGUCAUCUCGCAAUGGUGAGAGCAAGGCGAGCAAUUCCAGAGAGCAUCAGUUUUUCACACGCCCUCAACUCACAACGGCGAGUGAAAGGCGAGCAACUCGCAAUGGCGAGUGAAUUUAAUCGUGAGGCGAGUUAGGGCGGCCUAAACUCCUCAAAGGCGACGUGGCUCAAACUUAAUGGUGAAGAAACAUCAACUCGCCAUGGCGAAUAGAGUUACUCGCGAGGCGAGUUGAUGCAGAUCAAGAAUUCUAUAAAUAGCCCAUUUAAUCAUUACAUUAAGGGAUCUUAGUUUUUCUCAUACUCUUCACUUGUAAUACUUUUAGAGAGAGAGAUAGGUCUUGUUCUAAUAGAGUUAAAGUGAUAGAAAGUGGAUUCUUCCUCAUUUGUUGAGAGAUCACAAGUUUGUAAUGAAUCCUUCUCUUUCAAUUCAUUCUUGCAAGGCUUCCAUGACAAUGAGUAGCUAAAUCUCAUUUGUUGGGAUUAGAGGUACUUGAUCUUAGCUUAACAUGUAAUCUUUUGAUCUAUAAAUAUAUGGUUCUAGCAUUUGAUUUGAUAUUGAUGUUAUUCUUGCACUUUAAUGUUUAUGUUUGAUUUGAUUGUGAUUGAGAAAUACUUUUGAAUCUAGGUUUAGAAUAAUCAUCUAUCAAAACAUAAGUUCUAGAUAUGGAAUUGAUGUUUUGAUAAUCACCUUUUGUAUCCAAACUUAAAGCUUUCUUAUCAUUCAAUAGAUUGAGAAAUCAUCGAUUAAAUGAUAAGACCGACUCUUGAAAUAUUCAAUAGUUUGAGACAUUGACGAUUGAAUGAUACAAUUGAUUUCACAAUAUUGUUUGGACACGAAUGGUGUUGUCGAGGGAUACGUGAUAAUAUCAAAGAAAAGUUAGAAUCCAUAUAUGGUCAUUAGGUUACGUGUGACGCUUGAUUAAGGAACUCUAAUCCUAACAAGUUUCACGCCUUAUUAAUCUCAAUUUUAUUAUUCGCAACUUAGUUACUAAAACAAACAACAAAUUAUCUUUUAACUUAGAAUUAUAUUAGGUGUCAAACGGUCUGUGAUAUCGCACUAGUCCUUGAGGAGACGAUAUAAAUACUUACUAUUGGUUGAUGCAAAAAUACUACAUCAAAUCACAAUAGUAUGCAUGGGCUAAAUGUAUGGUCAAAUAACCCAGUUGCUAAACGGACAUCCACCACUACUAGAAAAAGCAAAAUUAGUAAGGGAAAUUAGUGACGGAAAAAAUGAAAUUCCUCACAAAUUCCUUGGUCGCAAAAUUUAGUGAUGGAAUUAGAGAGGGAUUUCAUGUUUUCCCUCAUUAAAUAUGAUCCCUUACUAAUUUUUGUUUUUUUAGUAGUGCACUUGUACUAUUAAUAACACUCCUCACUUGGAUAGCCAUCUAGUAUAUGCCUCGUUAAAACUUUACUGGAGAAAAAAUUCCAGUGAAGGAAAAAGGGUACAACAUCAUUUUGUGUCAUAAUCUGCCUCGCUUAAAACCUUGCCAUGAAAACCCAAUGAAAUAAACCAUGGUGAUGACUAUAUUUGGCAAGUGCAUCAAAUUGUUUUCUAGUAAUAAAUUAGCGAGUAAGAAUGUCCUCACAUGGUUUGUCGUUUCAACUAGGCAACUAGCUAAAGUUAUUAAAACAAUAAACAAAAGCAUUAACCGUGGGAGUUUGCAAAUUUGAUUUGAUUGUGCAAAGUGACUAAGUUGAUUGCGGAAGUAAAGGGUUUGAUUGCAGAAUGUGGCGGAAAUUUGAAUUCUUUAAAUCCCUCUAUUUCUUUGUUGGAUUAAUUCAGAAAAUUAUCAGUUAUGAGAUAAGGUUCUAUUUAGGUGGCUAGUUCGAUGGGAUUUAACGUUACUUCAGAUGUCAAUCCUUUUGAGAUCCAAAUAUGGUUUAAUAGUUAUUAAGGUGGGGACUUACUCUCUCAUAGGUAAUUGAAACAAAAACGAAGUUAAUAUUCCUAAAUUGUUAUAAAAAAGAACCACCUAACCUUUAGAAUCUUAGAAGUUUACCUCAUAACCUUACUUGUCCCUAGUAGAUUAAAUGGAUAGGCCUAACCUUAUCCUACUAAGGGAAGAUAAUAAGGUUUAUACGCAAUAUUCAGAAAAUUGAUUAGAAAUAUCUCUGCAACCUAUUUGCAUGUUCGGCCAAAUGCUUAGGUAUGUUACACUCCCUAUGAUUUGUGGAAACAUUAUUAAGCCUUUUGCAUAUAAAAAUUAAAUAAAUUUCAAAAUAUAGCUGAAUAAAAGACUUAAAUUUUUUAAAUCCAAAAAACAAAUAGAUGUGAAUUGAAGACAAAUUAAAAAAACAAAUAAAACAUACUCUAGAAACAAAAGAUGAGGAGAUACUCCUCUAUUGAUUCUCCUAGCGCUUUCCUUCCUCUUAAACUACCACAUUAUGAAUGAAAAAAGUGAAUGAAGGUUCUUGUAUUUAUAUACUACAAGUUUUCAAUUAGGUUUGAGUUGAAAAACUGAGAUUUUUCCACAAACCCACAUAGAAAAAACAAGGAAAACCCUGUUUUUACUCAGCCUUGCGUGCGCCCUGCGCAUGUGGUCAUGUGCAUCGUGGCACGUGGCUUCAACUCCUAUGCGAUUUUGCCUUUUUCUUCGUUCUUUUGAGUGCUUUCUUCCUCCAAAUUAGUAUUCGGACUUGGGACAGAUUUCCAAAAACUUGUAAUAUCUUCAUAGGCUUAUUGAAUCUUUAUUCCAUUUAUUCCACUUCUUCGUGAGGUGUCAUGCUUUGCCGAAUUAUAUGAUGUUUCAAUAGAAUACUUAUAAAAUACCUAUGAAUUUUUCGAUUUAUGAAAAAACUAUAAUUACAUGACUUUAUAUGAAAAUAUUACGAAAUGUCCCUUAAACCAUGCAUGAACAAUUUCUCUAAAACUUUACUUUAGAAUCUUUUCCAAUAUGUUUUCUUCAUUUUUAAUGGACGAGACUUUUAGUCUCUUUCACAAGUUACAACACUAUUCAUUGACUAGAAUGAUGGUGCGGGAAAAUAUCUCUUACCUUAGGCGCUUAUCUUCUCAAUCCCAAGAAAAUGGUACUACAUAUUGAUUUUUGAACGAGGCACGAUCAAACUUUAAAAGGUAAAUUCUAUAAGGUUAGAACCAAAACUAAAUAGAAAAGAGUAAAAUCUAUUCCUUUAUGGUAUGUUUGGAUGGAGGGUUUAAGAGGGGAAAGGAGGAGAAGAUUUAAUUUUCUUUUUUAAAUUAUAGAUAUUAUAAAAUGAUUUUUAGAAAAUUGAAUUAACAACAUAAUAAAUAAUUAUAUAAUACUUCAAAAACACUUAAUUUAUUUUAAAAAAACAUUUUGCAUUGUUCGUAAUUUAAAAAUUAAAAGUGAACCCUCCCCUCUCUUUCCCUCAUAAACCCUCAAUCCAAACAGACCGCUGCUGACCUGCACCUCCUAAUUUUUGGCUUGGAUUGUCCUUUCGAUUUUUGUGCUAUGGAUUAUUUUUACUCCCACUACUAUUUCAUUUCAGCAAUCAUUCAUCUUUAUACUCCAACCAGCUUCAAUAUUUCGAAGAGGAAAACCUCAUAAGAAAGCUCGCUAUUUUUGUGCUCGCUUUGUUUUCUGCAAUUCCUCACCUUUGAGACACAAGAAAUGUUGAAACUAUUGCUUACAAGAAUCAAACUCGUAUUCAUGAUUGACCACAGUAAAGAAAAAUGGAAAGAAAGUAUUGCUAGCAAGCAUGCAAUUUUUAUCAAUAUUAGAAUAUACUUAGCAAGAAAGAUUUCUAAAAUAUUUAUUGGUGAACAUUUGUGUUAAACUAGAGUAGUAAUUUGUUUCUCUAACUUGGUUGUUAAAUCCCCUCAUCAAACCUUGCACGUUAAGCUUUGAUUCCAAUAUAAAUGCACUCUAGAUUACUCCAAUUGCUGCUUGAGUAAUUUCUUCCUGAAAAAUCAAAUGUUAAGAGGUAAAUGACUGAGAUAUUUUUUUGAAGAAAAACCAUUAACAGUUUUCUAUUGACGGGCUUCUACGCGAAAAAAUUAGAGAAGGUAUAAACAGAUAUGAUAAAAUGUGAAGAACCAUCCUCCCUUCAUUUAGUUGCUGCUCUAAAUUUUAAGAAUAUCUAAAAAUUUAUAUUAAUGGGAAAUAAGUUAUAUGCCUCUGCAAAAUUAAUUCAAAAAAUGUGACUGUAUAAGAAAAUUCCAGAAGAUUUUUGUUCUUGUUAGUUAAGAUUUUGUUGAGUAUUUAAAAAUCUACAUAAACGGGAAAGAAGUUAUGAUGGUUUCUUCUUCAAAACCUAUGCUGUAAACUGGUUUUAACUAUUCUUGCGGUUAUUAUUUGAAGUUUCCUCUUAGCAACCCAAGAAUGGUCAACUAAACAGAAUUUAACUAGUAAUAGCAUUAACUUAUCCAGAUAUAGAUUAUUGGCUGGCGACAUAAAAGAAAAAAUGUACCUGAAAUGGAAGUGUGAUUCUUCAUUUCCUUUGCCAUGGCUCAUAUUAUCACUUCAUAAUUUAUUUUUAUGACAGGCAUGUGAGCGAUCUUGGACACAUGACGACUUCUCCGAUUGGCAUAUCUUGCUGUUAAUAGCGGCUUCCAUUAAUGUUCAAUAGCUUAAGAGAGAAGGGAAAUUCAUCUCUUCCAUCACAGCAAUUUUCUAAGUACAAAUCCACAAGUGAUGUGCAAUUGCUCCACGUUUUAGGAAAUGCAGUGAGAGAGGAAAUAUAAGUGAGUUGCAAGUGUUAAAGACAAGUAGAGCUCAGAAACAUUUUAGGCAGAGACAGAAUCGUGUUACUAAAUUAACUUGCAAAAUUAUAAGUUUCACAAGUCUCUAAACCGUCUAAAAACCAUCCAAAAAUGCAAGUUUCUAAAGUUGUUACUAAAACUAUCCAUCAAAAAAAUUUUGUUAAUUUGUUUAAAAGUUUAAUCCUUCUAAAUUACAAACCUCAAACCUAAAGAACCCUUUGUGUAAUUUAGCCAAAAUAAAAUGUAAAAGAAAUAUAGUGAAGCAGUUUGGACAUAGAUAUAAAUUAUAGGAUAGAGUAAAAUAAACUAAUUUUAAACAUAUCUAAAGUAUGAUAAAGGGUUCUGUUUUUCAGGAGGAGCUUUUGGGUCUCAUUUUGGCUAUGGAGUAUGCAGCUGCGAAUAAUUGGACUCGUUUAUAGCUUGAAAGUAACUCUUCC
rnacentral:lncRNA from 1 species